AAGGCCUGUGAAGCUCCUGCUCAGCUGCUUACUGCCCCCCGGACCCCGCCGUGACCGCCGGCCCAGAGCCAGGCCCAGCAGAGGGGGCUGUGCUGGCACCGUCAAGACCUGGUAGCAGACCCACAGAGGCCCCGACGUAAACCCAGACCCAAAUGUAAACCCGGGCCUCAGACGUCAACCUCGGCCCUGAGGUGGGCGGAGCUCCGGCCUGGAGAGGCGAUCCCGGUCUGCGGAGGGCGCGCAGAGCGAGGAUGGCGCCGUGGUCUCCAGAAGCGCCUGGCGGCCCCGUGCGUCCGGGGUCCGCCCCUCAACGGCGCCACGACCAGCACCCGGCACUCGCACCGAGACCCUCACGCCGAGACCCGUCUAUGUCCAGCAGAGACUCACGCUGCCCAAGUCCCAGGAAAAAGAUGAACUGAGUAAACCUUGUCUGAGAAAGUGGUGGAGCCGCCUUUUCUCUCCCACUCCACUCCUAAUGUUCAAUUACUUUGUGCAGAGAGCCUGCAAUGGGUGCCGUGGGUUCUCAGCCGGGAUCCUCCAGGACCCUCCCUAUCAUUCCUGUGCUCAGCCCUAGCCUCUGUGUUCUGACAUCUGGUUGACUCCACCUGCUUCCUUAGAGCUGCUUUGUCUGCAGAACACAGGGAACGCCUGCAAGUGUGGUCCCUGGGGCAGCCCUU
rnacentral:lncRNA from 1 species